rnacentral:rRNA from 1 species
CGGGAUACCCGAGGGAAACUUCGGUUAAUACGGUAUAAGACCACACUACCGCAUGGUAGAGGGGUAAAAGGGGCAACCUGGUAUGAGAUGGACUCGCGUCGCAUUAGCUAGUUGGUGAGGUAACGGCCCACCAAGGCGACGAUGCGUAGCCGACCUGAGAGGGUGAUCGGCCACAUUGGGACUGAGAUACGGCCCAGACUUCUACGGGAGGCAGCAGUGGGGAAUAUUGGGCAAUGGAGGAAACUCUGACCCAGCAAUGCCGCGUGAAUGAAGAAGGUCUUCGGAUUGUAAAGUUCUUUAGUCAGGGAAGGAGUCAAUGACGGUACCUGAAGAAUAAGCUCCGGCUAACUACGUGCCAGCAGCCGCGGUAAUACGUAGGGAGCAAGCGUUGUUCGGAAUGACUGGGCGUAAAGGGUGCGUAGGCGGUUGUACAAGUUAGAAGUGAAAUACCCAGGGCUUAACUCGGGUGCUGCUUCUAAAACUGUAUGACUUGAGUGCAGUAGAGGUUAGUGGAAUUCCUAGUGUAGCGGUGGAAUGCGUAGAUAUUAGGAGGAACACCAGAGGCGAAGGCGGCUAACUGGACUGCAACUGACGCUGAGGCACGAAAGUGUGGGGAGCAAACAGGAUUAGAUACCCUGGUAGUCCACACUGUAAACGAUGGAUACUAGAUGUAGGAGGUAUCGACUCCUUCUGCGUCGCAG